AUUUAUUUUCAUUUUAGUACCUAAGGUAUCUGCCACUAGUUAGAAUCUUAAACCAACUAUUAUUAUAGGGUACUCUUGGUUAUUCCUAUGUGAAUAAACCAAACAACAGAAGUAGAUAAUUUGUAGCAACAGGUUAAAUUACUACAAUUACUAAAUUGCCAGAACCUAGCAAUAUGUUAUUGUCUGGACAAUACUGAUUUAAAAUUUAGGAACUAAAAUAUGAAGUGAGUUUUAAAAAGGAGAGGACUUCUAAUUUGAACAAUAAAAUGACAGAAUUACUGUAA